AAGGAAUAUUGCUCAAUGGGAGAAAUCCUGAAGCAGCAACGCCGCGUGGAGGAUGAAGGGUCUAUGACUUGUAAACUCCUGUAAAGAAGGAAAAAAUUCCCAUUUGAUGGGAGAUGAUGGUACUUCUGGAGUAAGCCCCGGCUAACUACGUGCCAGCAGCCGCGGUAAUACGUAGGGAGCAAGCGUUGUUCGGAUUUACUGGGCGUAAAGGGCGCGUAGGCGGCGCGGUAAGUCACUUGUGAAAUCUCUGAGCUUAACUCAGAACGGCCAAGUGAUACUGCUGUGCUAGAGUGCGGAAGAGGCAACCGGAAUUCUUGGUGUAGCGGUGAAAUGCGUAGAUAUCAAGAGGAACACCUGAGGCGAAGGCGGGUUGCUGAGCCGACACUGACGCUGAUGCGCGAAAGCCAGGGGAGCAAACG
rnacentral:rRNA from 1 species